rnacentral:rRNA from 1 species
GACGAACGCUGGCGGCGUGCUUAACACAUCCAAGUCGAACGGAAAGGCCCUGCUUUUGUGGGGUGCUCGAGUGGCGAACGGGUGAGUAACACGUGAGUAACCUGCCCUUGACUUUGGGAUAACUUCAGGAAACUGGGGCUAAUACCGGAUAGGAGCUCCUGCUGCAUGGUGGGGGUUGGAAAGUUUCGGCGGUUGGGGAUGGACUCGCGGCUUAUCGGCUUGUUGGUGGGGUAGUGGCUUACCAAGGCUUUGACGGGUAGCCGGCCUGAGAGGGUGACCGGCCACAUUGGGACUGAGAUACGGCCCAGACUCCUACGGGAGGCAGCAGUGGGGAAUAUUGCACAAUGGGCGGAAGCCUGAUGCAGCAACGCCGCGUGCGGGAUGACGGCCUUCGGGUUGUAAACCGCUUUCGCCUGUGACGAAGCGUGAGUGACGGUAAUGGGUAAAGAAGCACCGGCUAACUACGUG